GUGAGGAAGGGGGUGACUAGUGACAGAGGGAGGGGUGACUAGGGACAGAGUGAGGGAGGUGGUGACUAGUGACAGUUACCACCUCCCUCACUCUGUCACUAGUCACCCCCUCCCUCACUCUGUCACUGUGUCACCCCCUCCCUCACUCUGUCACUGUGUCACCCCCUCCCUCUGUCACUGGUCACCCACUCCCUCCCUCAC
rnacentral:sRNA from 1 species